UACAGAGGUCCCAAGCGUUGUUCGGAUUCAUUGGGCGUAAAGGGUGCGUAGGCGGAUUGUUAAGUCAGGGGUGAAAUCCCGGGGCUCAACCUCGGAACUGCCUUUGAUACUGGGGAUCUCGAGUCCGGGAGAGGUGAGCGGAACUGCGAGUGUAGAGGUGAAAUUCGUAGAUAUUCGCAAGAACACCAGUGGCGAAGGCGGCUCACUGGCCCGGUACUGACGCUGAGGUGCGAAAGCGUGGGGAGCAAACAGG
rnacentral:rRNA from 1 species